rnacentral:rRNA from 1 species
GUGAAAGCCCCGGGCUUAACCUGGGAAUUGCAUUCGAUACUGCAUAACUAGAGUAUGGUAGAGGGAAGUGGAAUUUCCGGUGUAGCGGUGAAAUGCGUAGAUAUCGGAAGGAACACCAGUGGCGAAGGCGACUUCCUGGGCCAAUACUGACGCUGAGGUGCGAAAGCGUGGGGAGCAUACAGGAUUAGAUACCCUGGUAGUCCACGCCGUAAACGAUGAGAACUAGAUGUCGGGAGCAUUUGGCUUUCGGUGUCGCAGCUAACGCGUUAAGUUCUCCGCCUGGGGAGUACGCCGGCAACGGUAAAACUCAAAGGAAUUGACGGGGACCCGCACAAGCGGUGGAGCAUGUGGUUUAAUUCGAUGCAACGCGAAGAACCUUACCUGCCCUUGACAUUGACAGAAUCCUGUAGAGAUACGGGAGUGCUUCGGCCUGGAAAACAGGUGCUGCAUGGCUGUCGUCAGCUCGUGUCGUGAGAUGUUGGGUUAAGUCCCGCAACGAGCGCAACCCUUGUCCUUAGUUGCCAGCACGUAAUGGUGGGGACUCUAGGGAGACUGCCGGUGACAACCGGAGGAAGNGUGGGGACGACGUCAAGUCAUCAUGGCCCUUAUGGGCAGGGCUACACACGUGCUACAAUGGCGAAUACAGAGGGUUGCCAACCAGCAAUGGUGCGCUAAUCCCUUAAAGCUCGUCGUAGUCCGGAUUGGAGUCUGCAACUCGACUCCAUGAAGUCGGAA